rnacentral:tRNA from 1 species
GGAGGCUUAGCUCAGUUGGGAGAGCACACCCUUCACAGGGGUGGGGUCGCAGGUUCGAGCCCUGUAGCCUCCACCA